rnacentral:rRNA from 1 species
AUGAACAAAGCACAAACAAUCCGCAUGCAUAUAAGAAGCCAGCAAUAUGAGUUCAGCCAAAAAUAUGUUAUGCUGAUGUACGGCAGGCAACAUCCAUGCACUGCUAUAAAAGGAGGAGUCGUGAACGUGGAUAUCGGUAGCAGAGGGAAAGAGGGGAAAAUAUACAGGAGCUCCCGGGUGCCACACAUCCUAUAUGAAAGUAGCAUUAAGAAAAUAUCAGGAAAUUUCACGGUAGAAGCGGCAGCUCUGCUUAAAGGACUGAAGCUAGCAAGAGAUACGGGAUGCAAUAAUUUGGUGGUGAGAUCGGAUAAUAUCACGGUGGUGGAUGUAUUUAGAUUCAAUGAAAGUUAUUCUAUGGUGGCAGCGCCGGUUCUUGAUGAAUGUCGUAGUUAUCUAGUAGAUUCAAUGUCGUAG